UACGGGGGGGGCAAGCGUUGUUCGGAAUUACUGGGCGUAAAGGGUGCGUAGGCGGCGCGGUAAGUCGGGUGUGAAAUUUCGGAGCUUAACUCCGAAACUGCAUUCGAUACUGGCGUGCUUGAGGACUGGAGAGGAGACUGGAAUUCAUGGUGUAGCAGUGAAAUGCGUAGAGAUCAUGAGGAAGACCAGUGGCGAAGGCGGGUCUCUGGACAGUUCCUGACACUGAGACACGAAGGCCAGGGGAGCAAACGGG
rnacentral:rRNA from 1 species